rnacentral:rRNA from 1 species
UCUCAGAAAUAACGUCCCAGUUCGGAUUGUAGUCUGCAACCCGACUACAUGAAGCUGGAAUCGCUAGUAAUCGCGAAUCAGAAUGUCGCGGUGAAUACGUUCCCGGGUCUUGUACACACCGCCCGUCACACCAUGGGAGUCGGAAAUGCCCGAAGUCAGUGACCCAACCGUAAAGAGGGAGCUGCCGAAGGUGGAGCCGGUAACUGGGGUGAAGUCGUAACAAGGUACC